UUAAGUGAGUACCCCCACCUUCCAUGUACACUAACUCAGACAGAAGAACUGCAUUUCCUCCCAGUUGCUGUCUGUGGGAGCAGCUCCUGCUUUGGUUAGCUCAGGCCUGGGCAGUAGUUGGCCUGAAACAGAUACUCAACAAUCCUGGGAGAGGUCAAGGCAAAGCUGGACUCCCUCACGUGAAACCUGUCUCCACUCUCAGCUCCCAAGGAAAUUGCAGGAGCUUCUGAAAAGGAAGCUAGCUUUAAUCAUCCAAGGACACACUGCAGAAAUGAAGGAACUGGGGCCUCGUGUGAUUGGCUGUGAUUGGCUACUACAAAUGCACCCCUACUCAUGGGCUGACAGCAGUCUGCAAAUGAACUUUAUACACAGAUCACUCUGUUGCUAGAAGACCUUGACCCUCGCUCUUCAUUCCCAGCUCCGUAGGUCAUUUCAUCUCGGCUAGCACGUCUCACCUCUAACAGUGGCAUGGCCCAGAAUGUUGUGACCUUAGGUAGACCAUGAGGCUUGGCCACAGGAUCAGGACAAGAUAGAAUGACACAGCUCACCUGCCUGCAGCCAGGGCCUAUGGGGUCAGUUACCUAAGAUGAAGGGAACUGAUCAUUUGGAAUCUGUGUUCCCACAGUGCUAAUAACAUUGCAGCCUCACAUGCAGUUUGUUUUUUUUUCAAGACAGGGUUUCUCUGUGCAGU